GACGAACGCUGGCGGCGUGCUUAACACAUGCAAGUCGAACGGAAAGGCCCUGCUGUUGUGGGGUGCUCGAGUGGCGAACGGGUGUGUAACACGUGAGUAACCUGCCCUUGACUUUGGGUUAACUUCAGGAAACUGGGGCUAAUACCGGAUAGGAGCUCCUGCUGCAUGGUGGGGGUUGGAAAGUUUCGGCGGUUGGGGAUGGACUCGCGGCUUAUCAGCUUGUUGGUGGGGUAGUGGCUUACCAAGGCUUUGACGGGUAGCCGGCCUGAGAGGGUGACCGGCCACAUUGUGACUGAGAUACGGCCCAGACUCCUCCGGGAGGCAGCAGUGGGGAAUAUUGCACAAUGGGCGGAAGCCUGAUGCAGCAACGCCGCGUGCGGGAUGACGGCCUUCGGGUUGUAAACCGCUUUCGCCUGUGACGAAGCGUGAGUGACGGUAAUGGGUAAAGAAGCACCGGCUAACUACGUG
rnacentral:rRNA from 1 species